GCCAAAGUAUGUCUGUUUUUCCUUGUGUGUUUGGUCACGCUGGUAGCCGCCAGUCCAGAAAAACGCCUCAGCAAGGCUGGGAUUUUCUCUAUUUUCGUCACCCAAAGCAAUGAUUUGGCUUUGGGAUAUCCCAUAGGUAAGUGAAAUACCUGUAAUCCUAUUAUACUGCUCAAACAAGUGGAUUAAGAAACAAAAUCACCUCUGAUCCUACGAUGCUUAGCACCUGUGGUUUGGACCAAAAGACUGCACAUGAAAUACUGUAUGAGUUCACUGAUAGAUUUAUCUCUGGAAAAGAGUUUUACAGAUUCAUUUUGCACAGACUUUGGCUGACAGCCAUUAAGACUGUUACAAAUAAACAGGACCCAUUCACGCAAGAUUUAAUAAACACAAAUUAUGCAACUUUCAAAGGAAGUGGACGAUUUAAUCCAAUUGUUAUUAUUCAUUCCAGCACACUUCUCAGCAUCAGUGUGGUAUUACUGAAUGGACCACAUGCAGUAUUGAUAACUGUAGCCAUCUGCUGUAUUGCACUAAAGUUAGCAAUAAUGUUAUGAUCAUUCUAUGUCCAUAAUAAAACAUCAACACACUAGCAGUAUUUCAUCAAACUAGACAAGAUUAGAUACAUGAUAGUUAGUCACAAUAGUGCAUGAGGGCACAUCUAUCCAUACUCUCACAUUCACAUGUUAGCAACAACAUAUAUUAAGUAAGUUUAAAGCAAGAAUAUUAAAGAAAAUGGACACAGAGUUUCGUGGCCUUUAGCUGAUUUAUCAUUUUACUUGAACUUUUCAAAAUUGAAAUUUAGCUCACAUUCAAUAAACCACUGAUGACACAGUCAAAAUUCAGUAGAGUUUUUCCUCUUAUUCAAGCCUUGAAAACUUCAGUUCCAGUGUCUUUGUCUCCCAUAACCUUUAAAAAUGAAAUCAUCACUGUCUUUGUUCUUUUGUUUAAUGUCUGUGUUUGCAACAUUGUUCAGUGUGUUUCACAUUUCUGUCUGUGUCGGACUACUACUUUAAGAGCUUUUGAAUUGCACAUCUAUAGUUGUUUUCUACUAAAUUAGUAUGGCUCAGGAUCUUGGUGUACAAUGGUUUUACCGUUACACUGUGUGAAAUAUUAAUUGAGUGCAAUUAUUUUCCAACAAAUCAGAUGCUGAGUAUGCUUCACGGCUUAUUGAGAUGUCUGUCUUCGUCUUUAUCCACAGUCGAGGCCCUGUACAAGAGCACAUACCCACAGUACCUCCAGUACAUCUACCUGGUCGCACCUGUGUCCCUGAUCUUUCUAAAUCCCAUCGGUUUUUGCCUCUGUGAGAUAGAGAAGUGGAAGAAUCAGG